rnacentral:rRNA from 1 species
GCGGUGGGGAGACGAACAGGAUUAGACUACCCUGGUAGUCCACGACCGUAAACGAUGGACACUAGUUGUUGGAAUUAUUCAGUGACUAGACGAAAGUGAUAAGUCGUCCCACCGUGGGGAGUACGAUCGCAAGAUUAGAAACUACAAAGGAAUUGACGGGGGCCCGCACAAGCGGUGGAGCAUGUGGUUUAAUUCGAUGAUACGCGAGGAACCUUACCAGGGCUUAAAUGUAGGAUGCAUUAGCUAGAGAUAGCUAUUUCUUCGGACUUCUUACAAGGUGCUGCAUGGUU